rnacentral:tRNA from 1 species
GGAGAGGUGGCAGAGUGGUCGAUCGCACCCGCCUCGAAAGCGGGCGCACCUUAACGGGUGCCGGGAGUUCGAAUCUCCCCCUCUCCG